rnacentral:lncRNA from 1 species
AGUUUAUUUAAGGUCCUUGUCUAAUAAUUCCAACACUCAGUCAUCUGUGGGUCUACUUCUAUUGGUAAUUUUUCCCCUGAUUAUUAGUCUCAUUGCCCUGCUUCUUUGCAUGUCUUGCAAUUUUUUUAGUCUGAAAUGUAGUAUAUUUUUUAAAAAGUAGUGCCUAUAGUAAGUAUAUGUCUCCUGGAAAAAGAAUGUACCCUUCUUCUAUUGGGCCAUUGGGUCCCUCCCACAACACGUGGGGAUUAUGGGAGCUACAAUUCAAGAUGAGAUUUGGGUGGGGACACAGCCAAACCACAUCACAAGGCCAGCGACUUGCGUGUAAUGGGUAUUUAAUUGUCAAAAAUUCAUACAGCCAAAUAACAUUUGCUACUAAAAGCUUGACUCUGUUUUGUGUUCCUGGACCACAUGAACAGGGUGUAUUUGCCUCUCCUCCUGGAAGGAGCUUGGUGCCUGGGUCCCAUGUAUCUUUAAAUACAUAUUGCUUGCUUCAGCAAGCAAAGACAGCCCCUACCACCCUACUUUGCCACUGUCAGACUAAGGCAAAUAUAAUGAUCUCUUAUUUGUGUCCUUGUUCCUUGUGUGGAAAACCCAAAUGCAGCAAGAAUGAAAAGUGUUAAAGGAUUUUAUGUGUUCAAUGUAUUUAGGCCAUGUCAGCAGUAAUACAAAAUCAAGUGUAUCUUUUUUAAAAAUAGAUAUAUUUAAUGAGGGAAAAAAAUCCAUAAAACCACUAUCAGGUAUUAGAGCCAGAUGUUAUGAUUCUGACUUUCAGACAGACCCUAAGGCCUACAUCUCAGGUUCUGCCCAGUAAUUUUCAUUUUUUGACCUGGAUCUAUACAUUUAUCAAAUUUUAGCUGUGUACAGAUAGAAAAGAAAGUGGUUAGAAAUAAAAAUGCUGGCUGGGCACAGUGGCUCAGGCCUGUAACCCCAGCACUUUGGGAGGCCAAGGUGGGUGGAUCACCUGAGGUCGGGAGUUCGAGACCAGCCUGACCAACAUGGAGAAACACCAUCUCUACCAAAAAUACAAAAUUAGCCUGGCGUGGUGGUGCAUGUCUGUAAUCCCAGCUACUUGGGAGACUGAGGCAGGAGAAUUGCUUGAACUCGGGACGUGGAGGUUGCAGUGAGCUGAGAUCGUGCCACUGCACUCCAGCCUGGGUAACAAGAGCAAAACUCCCUCUAAAAAAAAAGAAGAAGAAAGAGAAAGACAAAGAAAGAAGACAAAGAAAGAAAGAAAGAAGCUGUGAUUCAACGUAUAAUCAGUUUUGUAACUGUUCCAUUGAUGUUUGAAAAGAUGGCAUAUUAUAGCUAUUACAGCAGUAGGAUGUAAGUGUAAAAUCUUUCUAUCCAUCUAUCUAUAUAUUAGUUACCUAUUGCUGCAUUCAGCACAUAACAGCCAAAACAACAAACAUUUCUUUGUUUUUUCUUAACUUUUAUUUUAGGUUCAGGGUUAUGUGUGCAGGUUUGUUAUGUAAGUAAACUCAUGUCAUGGGGGGUUGUCGUACAGAUUAUUUCAUCACCCAGGUA